AACGAACGCUGGCGGCAUGCCUAAUACAUGCAAGUCGAACGAGUGCCUUUGGGUGCUAGUGGCGCACGGGUGCGUAACGCGUGGGAAUCUGCCCUUGGGUUCGGAAUAACUUCGGGAAACUGAAGCUAAUACCGGAUGAUGUCGAUAAGACCAAAGAUUUAUCGCCCAGGGAUGAGCCCGCGUAGGAUUAGCUAGUUGGUGGGGUAAAGGCCUACCAAGGCGACGAUCCUUAGCUGGUCUGAGAGGAUGAUCAGCCACACUGGGACUGAGACACGGCCCAGACUCCUACGGGAGGCAGCAGUAGGGAAUAUUGGACAAUGGGCGAAAGCCUGAUCCAGCAAUGCCGCGUGAGUGAUGAAGGCCUUAGGGUUGUAAAGCUCUUUUACCCGGGAUGAUAAUGACAGUACCGGGAGAAUAAGCUCCGGCUAACUCCGUGCCAGCCGCCGCGGUAA
rnacentral:rRNA from 1 species